AUUGGAGUCAUCUCUAAGAUCUCAAGUUCGAGUCUCAAUCAAAGCCAGUUAUACUAAAAUGAGGUCUCUUCUUAAAAUCAAAAAUAAAAACCAAGAAAUUUCCAUCAAAUUCGCAACACAUUGCAAUAUCCAUUGUCAGCAUGUCUAAUUAAGACCCUUUGAAUCACAGCCAUCAAGAAGUCAAAAGCAAGAUCAUUACCUAGUUCUUAUAGUUUCACAAUAGUUUUAGUCAAAUAGAUACCUCUUAUUGAAGUCGAAAAACUGGCUCGAAUUAAAAAGAACUACAUUAUCUCAACGACAGCUCGACUAAUAAUGUUUCCCUGGUUGAGAUCCUGGAAUGCUUUGUCUGCCUCCUCAAAUUUGUAUUUUCUUGAAACAGCAUCAGUCAAAUUGAAAAUACCUGUUUCUGCAAGUUUAACCAACUUGGGAAGAUCCUGCCUAGCCCUUGCUCCAUAAGAACCAAUUACUUGAAUCUGUUCCACGAGUUAUGAGUCAAAGUUAUGCAACAAUGAGUACAGCAAACCAGUCUUAAACCAGGUUUAUACUGCAACCGAGAUGUUCAGCAAGAGAACUCUCCACAACGGAAAUCUCUCCUCAGAACGAAAAGCCAAUGGGCACUCAAAGCUAUCAAAUAUAUAGGAUAUAACCCCAAUCAUAGAAAACCUAUUUUUGUUCACCAAGUCAUAUCAAGAAAAGGAAAUCCCUACAUAAUGGAAUUUAAAGUCCAAAUAAGAAUCGCAAACAAAACCUAACAAAUUUUUACCCUAGAUCUAAUUCUAUCAAUCUUUGGAACAUCUGCAAUUGGAUUCUUGGUUCUCUAUAACUUUUUUGUCUCCAACUGUAUAUCAUCCUAUAGCUAUUCAAUAUCAAAUGAACUAACUCAUAAUAUCAAAUGUUUGAACUUAUUUCCAUCAAACCCAAUAAUUCUUCUAUCAAUAUCAGUAAUUACACACAGUUUCCAGGUCUUGUAUCUAUCCUACAUCGUUAAUUGUACCAAUAUCAAUAAUAUUUUGUACUUACUAGCAAAUACUUACCUUUCGACGAACAAGACGAUUUAUAUCUAUCUCCCCAACAGAACCAGCUUUUGCAAGUCCAAUCAUUACAGCUUUUCCUCCAUCUCUUACACUUUGCGUACACUGAGAAAAUGUUAGUGGUUUGCCCAAGGCUUCUACAGCAAUGUCUACACCUCUUCCCCCAGUUAUUUCUCUAAUCCUUUCAAUAGGAUCUUCUUUCGUUGCAUUUAUAGUGUGAGUUGCACCAAAAAUCUUAGCUUUCUGUAGUUUGUCAUCCUGAACGUCCACAGCAAUAAUAUCAGAGGCACCAAAUGCCCUGGCUAUCUGCAAACAACUCGAGCCAACACCUCCAAUUCCAAUUAUGGCAACAGAAUCCCCCGGAUGCACCUCUGCUGCAUGGGCCAUAGCACCAUAGGCAGUAAAUACUGCACAUCCUAAAAUUGCAGACUCCGUGUAUGGCAAUGAGCUUGGUAAAAUAGUCAAUCCAUGUGCUGGAACAACACAAUACUCAGCAAGGCCUCCCAUGCUAUACAUGAACACUGGCUUUCCAUUGCUGCGGAGGAAUAGCCUUGUUUCACCAUCGUAAAGAGUUCCUUUUGCCCGAUUAUAAGCAAAGAAAUCCUCACAUAAAUCAUCAUGACCCUUAGAACAGUACAAGCAGUUACCACAAGGCAUAAUGAAAGCUCCAAUAACAUGAGAUCCAACAGGAAAUCUUUCAAUAAUUUUGCGGUCUGUCAAUGGCCCAUGUUCAACAACUUCACCAGUUAUCUCAUGCCCAAUAGCACAAGGACUAGCAAAUGGAAGUUCUCCCUUUAUAACAUGGAGAUCAGAAUGGCAAACUCCACAGGCUUUGGUUUUAAUGAGAAGCUCGGAGGCUUUGGGGCGAGGCAUAUGGAAUUCUUCAAUGGUGAGAGGUUGAUUGGGUUCUCUAAACACAACUCCACGCAUGAACCCACCUGAGCUCACAUGAUAUGAGCUUUUUGAAAUCGUCAUCUCAUUACCGUUAUCAUUCUUAAUGUCACCGUUAACGCCGCCAGCAUGAUACAGAGCCGUAGCAACGGAAGAGUGGGGCUUUGUGGAGAGUAGCCUCUUGGUAAUGGCAAAGCGAAGUAGUGAAGAAAAUCCCAUUUUCCUCGGAUGCAAAUGGCAGAGAGUAAGAACAGAGGUUUUUUUUUUUUUUUUU
rnacentral:misc_RNA from 1 species